AGCUUUAUAGUCAAGAUUAAAAUGAUAUUAGAUUGCAAUUCUGAAGGGGUAAAAUAAAUUACUAAGGCUU
rnacentral:tRNA from 1 species